CGGAGGGUGCAAGUCGUUAUCCGGAUUCACUGGGUUUAAAGGGUGCGUAGGUGGGCUAGUAAGUCCGUGGUGAAAUCUCCAAGCUUAACUUGGAAACUGCCGUGGAUACCAUUGGUCUUGAAUAUUGUGGAGGUAAGCGGAAUAUGUCAUGUAGCGGUGAAAUGCUUAGAUAUGACAUAGAACACCGAUAGCGAAGGCAGCUUGCUACACAAUUAUUGACACUGAGGCACGAAAGCGUGGGGAUCAAACAGGAUUAGAUACCCUGGUAGUCCACGCCCUAAACGAUGGAUACUCGACAUACGCGAUACACAGUGUGUGUCUGAGCGAAAGCAUUAAGUAUCCCACCUGGGAAGUACGACCGCAAGGUUG
rnacentral:rRNA from 1 species